UACGUAGGGUGCAAGCGUUGUCCGGAAUUAUUGGGCGUAAAGAGCUCGUAGGCGGUCUGUCGCGUCUGCUGUGAAAAUCCAGGGCUCAACCCUGGACCUGCAGUGGGUACGGGCAGACUAGAGUGCGGUAGGGGAGAUCGGAAUUCCUGGUGUAGCGGUGAAAUGCGCAGAUAUCAGGAGGAACACGGGUGGCGAAGGCGGAUCUCUGGGCCGUAACUGACGCUGAGGAGCGAAAGCAUGGGGAGCGAACAGG
rnacentral:rRNA from 1 species